UACGUAGGUGGCGAGCGUUAUCCGGAUUUAUUGGGUUUAAAGGGUGCGUAGGCGGUCCGUUAAGUCAGCGGUAAAAUUGCGGGGCUCAACCCCGUCGAGCCGUUGAAACUGGCAGACUUGAGUUGGCGAGAAGUAUGCGGAAUGCGUGGUGUAGCGGUGAAAUGCAUAGAUAUCACGCAGAACCCCGAUUGCGAAGGCAGCAUACCGGUGCACAACUGACGCUCAGGCACGAAAGCGUGGGUAUCGAACAGG
rnacentral:rRNA from 1 species